AGCCCGGUGGUGUAGUGGCCCAGCAUCUCGGACUCUGAAUCCGGGGACCCAGGUUCGAAUCCUGGCCGGGCUA
rnacentral:tRNA from 1 species